GGUCUUGUGGCCUAAUGGAUAAGGCGUCUGACUUCGAAUCAGGAGAUUGUGGGUUCGAGUCCCAUCAAGAUCG